rnacentral:lncRNA from 1 species
GAUAGUGAUUAUUUUAUGUUUGCCUCGCUGAUCUGAGGUUAUCAUUCCUUUAGUAUGAAAUGUUUGCUUCUUGAUUAUAAUUGUGAUGGGCCUAUCUGUUAUCGUAGAUUUAAAAAAAAUUUGCAGACUAUAUUUAAUUCUUUUAAUUGUAAAGUAAAAUGCAUGGUUAUUUGUUCGAUUACUCUGUACUCGUUUAUAUUGAUAUUUUGGAUUAAUCACCUCCAUACUUUUCAAAAGAAAAUCACGUUGCCUUUGUAAAUCAGAUAAAUUCCAAUAAUCUUAAAAAAUUGCUUUUCGGUCUUCUGAGAUUUUGGCAUUGCAGUGCAGCUUGCAUUUUGUGCCACACGGCGGUCCCAAAGUUUUGGCUUUGAAGAUUUUUUUACUUUUAGAACUGGAGGUAUACUCCAAGCCGGAAUUCCUACAUCGUUUCGCAACAGUUUUUUUCCAUGCUUCGGGAUUUGCCUUUCUCUUCUUGCCUUUUUUAGCUAAUUUUUUUUUUUUUUGGCUUCUUCUAUUUCAUUUGGUAGGACACGUUGUUCUACCAAGGAAUCAUCUGCAGACUGUUCCUGUUCAGGAUCACAACUCGAACUACUUGAAGAUGAUGUAGAGCCAGAGCUGUAAUUCGGGUCUGCAUCCGAAUCAUCACAUUGUGAAUAGCUAUCACUGUCUGAUAAUUUUAGUACAGAAGUAUUGCGUAAGAUACUGAAAGAAAAAAAUAUUUAUUAAUUAAUCGAUUGUUAUAACAAAUUGUAUUGUAAGUAUCACUAACCUUUUCCAUUAGUUGUUUGCUUUUGAAAUUCAGAGUUGUUACUUGAGGAAGUACAAGUCUCAGAAGUGGAAACAGAUGGAGCAUCUGAAAUUGUUACAGAAGUCUCAAUAUUACUUGUAGCAAGAUUUGUAUUCCCAUGGUCCAUCCCAUUGUUUCCUUUAUUUAUUGCCACCCAUUGAGUAUUUGCUGCUUUUUGACUGGCACCAUUUUCAUUGAUAUUUUUUCUUGACAACGUCAGUAAUAGUUUAGUCUGUUUGUUAAAUGGUGCUAAUUGUUUAUUCUCCAUUGUACCUAUUCAGAAGAUAUGAUUUUUUAAUCAAAGUUAUAAUAUCAACAAAAAAACACGUACGACUUUCUCAGCAAAUGUGACAGAAUUGUAAAUG